UGGGGAAUUUUGGACAAUGGGGGAAACCCUGAUCCAGCCAUCCCGCGUGUGCGAUGAAGGCCUUCGGGUUGUAAAGCACUUUUGGCAGGAAAGAAACGUCAUGGGUUAAUACCCCGUGAAACUGACGGUACCUGCAGAAUAAGCACCGGCUAACUACGUGCCAGCAGCCGCGGUAAUACGUAUGGUUCAAGCGUUAAUCGGAAUUACUGGGCGUAAAGCGUGCGCAGGCGGUUCGGAAAGAAAGAUGUGAAAUCCCAGAGCUCAACUUUGGAACUGCAUUUUUAACUACCGGGCUAGAGUGUGUCAGAGGGAGGUGGAAUUCCGCGUGUAGCAGUGAAAUGCGUAGAUAUGCGGAGGAACACCGAUGGCGAAGGCAGCCUCCUGGGAUAACACUGACGCUCAUGCACGGAAGCGUGGGGAGCAAACAGG
rnacentral:rRNA from 1 species